GCUGAACUCUCCUGGAGGAAGUCUCGCACCCAGUCAGACUUUCUCCAUUAUAGAUUCAUAUUGUGUUCAUACAGUGCAGCCCUUGCCCUCGCCAAACAGUCAUACUUUUCUUCUCUCAUUAGUUCAUGCUCCCGCAAUCCCAGGCGCUCUUUGACACCUUUAAUUCUCUUCUUCGCCCUGCUGUGGCCACCCCCCAAACUAACCUUAC